AGUGAACGCUGGCGGUAGGCCUAACACAUGCAAGUCGAACGGCAGCACAGUAAGAGCUUGCUCUUACGGGUGGCGAGUGGCGGACGGGUGAGGAAUACAUCGGAAUCUACUUUUUCGUGGGGGAUAACGUAGGGAAACUUACGCUAAUACCGCAUACGACCUACGGGUGAAAGCAGGGGAUCUUCGGACCUUGCGCGAUUGAAUGAGCCGAUGUCGGAUUAGCUAGUUGGCGGGGUAAAGGCCCACCAAGGCGACGAUCCGUAGCUGGUCUGAGAGGAUGAUCAGCCACACUGGAACUGAGACACGGUCCAGACUCCUACGGGAGGCAGCAGUGGGGAAUAUUGGACAAUGGGCGCAAGCCUGAUCCAGCCAUACCGCGUGGGUGAAGAAGGCCUUCGGGUUGUAAGGCCCUUUUGUUGGGAAAGAAAAGCAGCAGGUUAAUACCCCGCUGUUCUGGCGGUACCCAAAGAAUAAGCACCGGCUAACUUCGUG
rnacentral:rRNA from 1 species